rnacentral:lncRNA from 1 species
AGAUUUAAAUAAUUAAGACGAAAUAUGUGUCAUUUCGUUAUGUAAAAAAGGGAACAUAAAUAAAUGCAUACAAUCACAAUAUCACGUGCGCGCCAUUUGGCACCCGAAGAGAAACUUAGCGAGGUAUCAUGAAAAAAAAAAAGAAAAACAAUGGCUCACAGUAUAAAAGAGCAAAGAUAUGGCGCGUCAGUAUAUUCUUUCUCUCACAAAACAACCAUGCUUAUGACUCAUUUACAUGAAAAGCAUAUAUUUGCUCAUGCAUGCAACUCCGUGGCAGGUGGGCCGGGACACUUGGGGUCACAGGCGGGACAUUUUUGCCAGCACUCCUCUUUGGAAGGGAAGCACGGCUGGUCCGGCGGCACAAGCUCACAGCAGUAACAGGGCCUCGGAGGUUUACGACAUACAUGGCCCGUGCAGAAACGUAGGUUGAGCUUGCUCUCAUCUAAUGAUGUCGCGUUGACUGUAGUAGCUCCGGUAUGAUCCUCCUGGUAGCUCCUUCUUCCAGCCUCCAAACGACCUGUUAAUUCGCAUCGAAAAAUUCGUGUUCAGAAUCACGUACAAGUUUAUAUAUACUCCUACAUAGUUACAUGAUUGCAUCACUGAGAAAUACAAUCGUAUGUAUAUGCUUACAUACACUGUGCUAUAACUGCAAGGUAUCCGAGGAGGAGCAGGAUUACUGUCAGCGAGGAAACCAAGCCGGUGCCUCUCAUGCUGGGGCGCCCGGUGAAGUGGCUACCUGAGAGUCGGAUUGUGAGCUAAUGGCAAUGGGGUAGCCUCGCGGCCGCGCUUGAA